AUUGAACGAUGGCGGCAGGCCUAACACAUGCAAGUCGAACGAGCGGCGGACGGGAGAGUAAUGACUGGGAAACUGCCUGAUGGAGGGGGAUAACUACUGGAAACGGUAGCUAAUACCGCAUACCAUCAGAUGUGUCCAGACGGUAUUAGCUUGUUGGUGGGGUAACGUCUCACCCAGGCGACGCGCCCUAGCUGGUCUGAGAGGAGGACCAGCCACACUGGAACUGAGACACGGUCCAGACUCCUACGGGAGGCAGCAGUGGGGAAUAUUGCACAAUGGGCGCAAGCCUGAUGCAGCCAUGCCGCGUGUAUGAAGAAGGCCUUCGGGUUGUAAAGUACUUUCAGCGGGGAGGCGUUACCCGCAGAAGAAGCACCGGCUAACUCCGUGCCAGCCGCCGCGGUAAUAC
rnacentral:rRNA from 1 species